rnacentral:rRNA from 1 species
UGGGGAAUAUUGCACAAUGGGCGCAAGCCUGAUGCAGCAACGCCGCGUGAGGGACGACGGCCUUCGGGUUGUAAACCUCUUUUAGUAGGGAAGAAGCGAAAGUGACGGUACCUGCAGAAAAAGCACCGGCUAACUACGUGCCAGCAGCCGCGGUAAUACGUAGGGUGCGAGCGUUGUCCGGAAUUAUUGGGCGUAAAGAGCUCGUAGGCGGUCUGUCGCGUCUGCUGUGAAAACCCGAGGCUCAACCUCGGGCCUGCAGUGGGUACGGGCAGACUAGAGUGCGGUAGGGGAGAAUGGAAUUCCCGGUGUAGCGGUGGAAUGCGCAGAUAUCAGGAGGAACACCGAUGGCGAAGGCAGUUCUCUGGGCCGUAACUGACGCUGAGGAGCGAAAGCGUGGGGAGCGAACAGGAUUAGAUACCCUGGUAGUCCACGCCGUAAACGUUGGGCGCUAGAUGUGGGGACCAUUCCACGGUUUCCGUGUCGCAGCUAACGCAUUAAGCGCCCCGCCUGGGGAGUACGGCCGCAAGGCUAAAAC